CCUACGGGAGGCAGCAGUGGGGAAUAUUGGACAAUGGGCGAAAGCCUGAUCCAGCAAUGCCGCGUGAGUGAUGAAGGCCUUAGGGUUGUAAAAUUCUUUCGCCAGGGAUGAUAAUGACAGUACCGGGAGAAUAAGCUCCGGCUAAUUUCGUGCCAGCAGCCGCGGUAAU
rnacentral:rRNA from 1 species